UAAGAAUUUUAAAUACAAUUUUAGAAAAAUUUUACCUGAAGAACAGUUACGAGUUCAUAAAAACCAUACCUUUAUUUUGCUUAAAAUCUUUAAGUUUCAAAGCUUUUAAAUACCUUGUGUCUACGCAUUUUCCUGCAUUUAUCACAUAUAUUGCAUUUAUUGCAUUUACUUUGCAUUCUCUGCAUUUAUCAUACACAUUUUCAAAAAUGUAGCUUUAAUAUAAUACAAAGUUAUCAUUCGUAUCUUCUCAUUAGAUAUAUGUAAAUUUUGAUUAAUCUUGAUAAUCGCUACGAUACCAUUCAGUAUGACAGUGUCGUUAUUUAUGAGGCAUAAUGCAAUCAUCGAGUUCUCCCACGUAACGUUUGUAAUAUCUUAUCUGUUAUAGAUUACCAUAUCGCAAACAUUGUCUAUUUAAUAAAAUGCACUGGAGUGCAUAGUACAUAGCAAGUUUCGUAGUGUAAGCGUUAGAGAAAGAUAUUACCUGAGUCGUCGAUAAGGUAGACAAUAACUGAUAUUAGCUUGGAGCGAAAUAAUCAAGUGAUUUAAGAGUGAUUAGAUGAGCGCGCUGUAGGCGAGAAGUUUGAGGGAGCGUGACUUAUAAAAAAUGCAAAAUUGUAAGGAAAGAUAUAAGCGAAGGAUCACGAUGACGAGUCGCGUAGUAACCAAGAGAGAGAACGGUCACAAGAAAAUCGAGAGACGAGGGAUUGUCUCAGGACGAAAUUGAGAGUGCGACUUGAGAUUCUCGACGGACUCCAGGAAAUUUCUUUCUCCGCGGAGUUGGUAUUUGAGAAUUUGUAACGGGGUACAGACGGAUAUCACUUUAUACGUAUCUUGAGCUUACAGCUUAUAAUAGUUAACUUUCUUUUUUACAAUUUUACAAAUGGAUAUCCGUCGAGAUAAAAGAUUCGAUAGCACAGUUCAUUCAGAGAAUGUGUGUGCGAAUAUUCACAAAGUGAAGAAUGCCAAUACGAUUUGCGCAAAUAAAGAUGAAAGUUAUCGUAACGACACGACGCGGAAAAAAUCAGAAUUCCAUGUCAAAUAUCGCGAUCGCGUUUAUAAUAUACAAAGUUUCUUAAAUUAUCAUCCGGGAGGAAAAAAUACGCUUACACCUUUGAAGGAUCAAAUCCUAGAUGGUGAAUUAGCGAAACAUCCUCAUUCCAAAUCUGCCUACUAUCUUCUCGAAGAAUUUGCCAUGCAAUUCCAAGAGAGAUAUAACGAGUGCGAAGAUUUAGUUAAUUGGGAUGCGCCGAUAUUGCGGCAAGUGGGCCUUAUGGGCGAUCGAUAUUGGGAAUGGGUAAACCUGCCAGUAAACCGACCUAUACGAUUUUUUCAAUCGGACAUUUUAGAAUUAUUAUCAAUCACGCCAUGGUACAUCAUGCCGAUCGUCUGGUUUCCCAUAGUUAUAUAUUUCUUUUACAUGGGAUGUGUUGGAAAUAUUUCGACAAGCAUCGUGAUCACGUUGCAAAGGAUUUUACCGUCAUUCGUUCUGGGGAUAUUUAUCUGGACCGUUAUGGAAUAUUUCGUACAUCGGAAAGUAUUUCAUUUAAAACCACCGCAUAAUUCGAAGUUACUGAUUACUUUGCAUUUCCUAUUUCAUGGGAGUCAUCAUAAGGCACCAUUGGAUGAACGAAGAUUGGUGUUUCCACCGAUAUUAAGUUUAACCGUAGCAGCGAUUGUUUGGCAAAUUUACAAAGCCAUAUUUCCUUUGGAAAUAGUUAAUCUUGUCGGCGCUGGUACUAUAACGGGUAUGCUACUCAUAAAAAAAAUCUUCCGGCUAUUUAUGUUAUGAUCUAAUGCACUAUUAUUUGCAUAAUGGAGCACCGAAAGACGAAUCGUAUUUGUAUACAAUGAAAAGAAGACACAAUUAUCAUCACUUUUUACAUCAUAAUCAAGGAUUUGGAGUUACCAGUGAAUUGUGGGAUCGAUUACUCAAGACGGAUCUAAGUUUACGAAAAUUAGACAAACCAUUAGAAUGGUAAAACAAUAAUGAAAAAGAAAGAUAUAGCAGCGUUUAUAUUUAUUCAUGGUAUUCCUUUUUUUAAAUAUUUUGAUCGCAUAAAUAAUAAUUCCUUAUUAAUAUAAUCACAACUGUAAUUACAAUAAGUACAGAGAUUGUACUCCUUGUAAUAAUUAAAUAUAACUCAGUCCCAUAAAGAUUUAAGUACACACCUAAGUUUUUAAGAGAUUCAAUAGCUUUCUAGUAUAUAUAAAUUAAUGACUACAUGCGCACACAAAUUUCUCAAAAAAUGACAAUACAAUGCACUAACAAAGACAAAUAUUGAGAAUUAGUAUUUGAUGAGUAGAUGAUCUUUUCUUUAUAUUUAUUCGAUAAAUAAUGUUAAACGGUUUUAAACCAGCAAAGUUGUUAAUAUUUUAAGUAUAUAACCCAUGAUAUACCCAUGGUUUUAAGUCCAUUUAUCUCCUUUCAAACCUAAUAUCACAAAUGUGUCCAAAGUUAAAAGAAAAGUAAAGUACAUACUGUGCCGUAGAUAUAUAUUGUUAUUGAGAUCUCAAAGUAUAUUUAUAUUGUGGCAUUUAGCCGUUAUGAAAUAAAUUAUACCUGAGUACAACA